rnacentral:tRNA from 1 species
GGGUUGUGGCUCAGUAGUAGAGAACUUGCCUAGUAUGUGCAAGGCCCUGGGUUCGAUCCUCAGAACACA